UACGUAGGGGGCAGGCGUUGUCCGGAAUUAUUGGGCGUAAAGCGCGCGCAGGCGGUCCUUUAAGUCUGAUGUGAAAGCCCACGGCUCAACCGUGGAGGGUCAUUGGAAACUGGGGGACUUGAGUGCAGAAGAGGAAAGCGGAAUUCCACGUGUAGCGGUGAAAUGCGUAGAGAUGUGGAGGAACACCAGUGGCGAAGGCGGCUUUCUGGUCUGUAACUGACGCUGAGGCGCGAAAGCGUGGGGAGCAAACAGG
rnacentral:rRNA from 1 species